UAAAACUUUCACACUAAUAUUCAUAUGCUUAGGUAAAUGAAUCAUGCACUUUUAUAUUAUUUUGACUAUAAUCUCAGAAAUCAUUGAAAGAUUUUUUUUACAAAAAUAUAACUAAUGCAAGUUUAUGUUUAUAUGUAGAUUAUUAUGCUUAGUUAAAUGAAUCAUGCACUUUUAUAUUAUUUUAACUAUAAUCUCAGAAAAUUAAUUGAAAGAUUUUCUUUACAAAAAUAUAACUAGUGCAAGUUUAUGUUUAUAUGCUUAGGUAAAUGAAUCAUGCACUUUUAUAUUGUUUUGACUAUAAUCUCAGAAAAUUAAUUAAAAGGUUUUCUUUACAAAAACAUAAUUAAUGCAAGUUUAUGUUUAUCUGCUUAGGAAAAUGAAUCAUGCACUUUUAUAUUAUUUUGACUAUAAUCUCAGAAAAUUAAUUGAAAGAUUUUCUUUACAAAAAUAUAAUUAAUGCAAUUUUAUGUUUAUACGCUUAGAUAAAUGAAUCAUGCACUUUUAUAUUAUUUUGACUAAAAUCUCAUAAAAUUAAUUGAAAGAUUUCCGUACGAAAAUAUAAUUAAUUCAAGCUUAUGUUUAUAUACUUAGGUAAAUGAAUCAUGCAUUUUUAUAUUAUUUUGACUAUAAUCUCAGAAAAAAUUAAUUGAAAGAUUUUCUUUAGAAGUUUAUGCUUAUAUGUAUAUAUAUAUCAAUCUAAAAUAUAAUAGAACUCUCAAACAAUUUAUAAAACAUCCUACAAAAUGAGUCUCUCCAAAAAAUGUAUAUCAAUCGCAUUUGUUUUCACUCUUUUCUUCGCAAUGUCAAUUGUUCGCUGCACCGAUACUGUUUCAGAUUUCGGAGUAAAGUAUAAUGUGUGCUAUGGUCCAUGUGACGACAAAGGAAUGUGUUAUCCGUAUUGUCAUACCAAAAAAGGUCUGAUAAGGGGAGACUGUGUGUCUGGCAUUUGUUGUUGUGAU